CCUGACUGACCGAUAGUGAACCAGUACCGUGAGGGAAAGGCGAAAAGAACCCCGGCGAGGGGAGUGAAAAAGAACCUGAAACCGUGUACGUACAAGCAGUGGGAGCACCUUCGGGUGUGACUGCGUACCUUUUGUAUAAUGGGUCAGCGACUUAUAUUCUGUAGCAAGGUUAACCGUAUAGGGGAGCCGCAGGGAAACCGAGUCUUAACUGGGCGUUAAGUUGC
rnacentral:rRNA from 1 species